CAGGCGCGAAAACUUUACAAUGCGGGAAACCGCGAUAAGGGGACACCGAGUGCCAGCCUCCUAUGUUGGCUGUCCAUAUGUAUAAAUCACAUGUGUUAGCAAGGGCCGGGCAAGACCGGUGCCAGCCGCCGCGGUAACACCGGCGGCCCGAGUGGUGGCCACUAUUAUUGGGUCUAAAGGGUCCGUAGCCGGUUUGGUCAGUCUUCCGGGAAAUCUGACGGCUUAACCGUUAGGCUUUCGGGGGAUACUACCAGGCUUGGGACCGGGAGAGGUAAGAGGUACUCCGGGGGUAGGAGUGAAAUCUUGUAAUCCCCGUGGGACCACCAGUGGCGAAGGCGUCUUACCAGAACGGGUCCGACGGUGAGGGACGAAAGCUGGGGGCACGAACCGGAUUAGAUACCCGGGUAGUCCCAGCUGUAAACUAUGCUCGCUAGGUGUCAGGGACGGUGCGACCGUUUCUGGUGCCGCAGGGAAGCC
rnacentral:rRNA from 2 species